rnacentral:misc_RNA from 1 species
UCACGAAGAAGAAGAAGAAGAAGAAGUUCGAAGAAGAAGAAAAAGAAGUUCGAAGAAGAAGAAGAAGAAGUUCGAAGAAGAAGAAGAAGAAGAAGAAGUUCGAAGAAGAAGAAGAAGAAGUUCGAAGAAGAAGAAGAAGUUCGAAGAAGAAGAAGAAGUUCGAAGAAGAAGAAGAAGUUCGAAGAAGAAGAAGUUCGAAGAAGAAUCAGAAGAAGUUCGAAGAAGAAUCAGAAGAAGUUCGAAGAAGAAGAAGAAGUUCGAAGAAAAAGAAGUUUGAAGAAGAAGAAGAAGUGCGAAGAAGAAGAAG